AGUAAAAUAGCUUUGGGGGCAUUUUACACUUUUUUCAUUGGCUUGAAAUAUAGUGUAGGGGAGGAAAGACUUGACCCUCCUAGGUUCGGUAGCUGAGUCUAUGAAAUACAUUGACAGGAGGAAAGCUAUUAAAGGAAUUUCACAUUCUGCAACUCUGGGGCAAAAAGAAGAGUGAGUGAUCAGCUGGCAGGGGCUGCUGUGCUCGGCCCGGAGAAAGAAGGGAUUCCUAGAUCUUCCACUCCCUCCCUGCACCCCACACUGGAGAAGGAGCGUUAAACUGACUAUUAUGGGAAAGGAAAGCCCAAGUUGAAGUUCUUCCAGUUGCAGAAGGUGGGAACUUGGCCUCACUUUUGCCUCUGAUGUUCCUUGGAGAACCUCGAGUUAUGCAACUAGAAAGACCGUGGCUUGUGACGGAGGCUAUGUAGGCCCUGG